AGACAUUUUCUUCUUACUGGGCCCUCUCCCUCUCCCACAAGAAACAGAGCGCACAAAAAAUUUUAGAUAUUCACAACGACCAUGUAAAAAGCAAUAUAUUUUUGUUUAUUUGUUUAUUAUAUACAGUUGCCCAACAGAAAAGUAAACUAUCUAUUUACGAACUUUUCAAAAUAGACAACUUGACCGGGCCCUUCAAAAUACCGGGCCAUAGGCAUUUGUCUACGCGAUGAUCCGACCCUGACAAACACCACUUUCCGGCUAUUUAAAAAUUGUACUUUUACUCGAUCCACUCUAAUGGUGGUUAGGAAAACCCUUUCUCGGUGGUCCCUUUAACCCACCCACGGGUGACUUAAUAACGGCUAGGGCCUAUUUCCCCCACGGGGACACCGACGACGGAAAACGUCGAGGCGGUGGUCGAUUCUCGCGCGAGGAAAUUCGGUUGGCGGAACCACAUCUCGGCCAUCAUCCUCGAUUAAUAUACAUGGUGGAUGGUAUGCAGCCAGAGGCCAUGGUCGACAGAAAAUGGUGCCAAAGAAGGCGGUUGUGUUACGUUUCUUUUGUUUAAACGUUUUAAUUAAUGACGGGAAAGCUCAAAAUGAUAGAAAACGUCAUUUUAGUUAAAUAAAAACUUUUUCAAAAUUGUUAAAAAUUUGCGUCUAGCCACGGUUUAUCAUCAUAUUUUUAGUUUCUGGAUAGUAUGUGGUAAUUUCUCAUAAAUAUUUUUCUUCACUUUUAUUUUACUUUCACCCGCCAUUAUUUUUAGACUAAACGCCUGGCUAAUGGUAACCAAAGAUGUUUCGAUGGUAACACGUAUCGUCAUUGGUGGGCUAACUUCCCAUCAGUCAUCUUUCAGCGAAACGCAAAACUUGGUAUUUCUGAACUCGGCAUUUGGCCGUUUCCUGGUCGGUGGCCGGUUCAUAGACGGCCGGAAUGGAAAUGCGAAAGGAAAGGAACACGUUCCGUUCCUUUUCCACGUUCCUGAACGGUGUGUCUAUCCGUUGGUAAUUGAACGGAAUGAAGAAAGAAUGCGCACGCUUUCGGUCGAUUCUCGUUCGAAAUACGGUGGC
rnacentral:lncRNA from 1 species